GACUACUUGAGCACACUUGCUCAACUCAGGGUCCAGCGCGUUGCGCCAAGCGCCGUGGUGGACACUUUUGACAAAGUUUACGCUGCAGCUAUGGACAGCAUCAUGAGGAUCCUGGAUGACUGACCAGCGAUGUGCAAGAAGCCCUUGCAUACCAUCCUCCGAGGAAGCAGUAAUGUGCAGCACCAUUACUGCUUCUAUUACUGCAUGUCGAAGCAACGAGGUGCCACGUUUUCAUUAUCUGGCAUAGUACACUGAAG
rnacentral:lncRNA from 1 species